UGUAGAAUUUAGCUUCCCAAUUUUUACUCUAUUUUUUUCCUAACAUUUUCUACACAAUGAAAUUAUCUAAAAUUGAACCAUUUCUAGAAGGCAAGACUAUUCUCAUUACUGGAGCCACUGGAUUCCUUGCAAAAAUUUUAGUGGAGAAGAUACUUAGAGUUCAACCGGACGUG